GCAGUGAUGGAAACGAUAUACCCAGUUUGUGUAUUUCUCUUGUCCGCGCUUCACACACGGAGGAAGGCGGGAAGAGGAGGCAGGUUCAGCGCAGGCGGUUGAAGGUGCAGAUUGCUACAAGGAUCUAGCCCCGCACCAUGGCUGAACUCAAGCCCCUACCACAACAUGCUCCCCCACCCUACUCAGCAGAGCCCCAAGGUCUCUCAGCCCAGCCCUCUGCCCCUGCCCAGCCGCCUGCAGCUGCCGUUGUCCAACCGCCUCCCCCUGCAGCGGCCCCCAUCAUUGCCCCAGUAAUGCAGAUUGCAGCGCCAGCAGCAGCACCACCAAAUGUCAAUGUAAUGGUGAACCAAAAUACACCGGCAGCCAUAGGGGGCUGCUCUGUUUGUAAGAUAGGGCGAAUGGAGAGCAGCCCCUCAUUCUGGACGUGGAUGUGCUGUUUACUUAUCUUCCCUUGUGGCAUUAUACCCGGCCUGCUAGUCUUUUUUUUCUGUUGUCGGCGUCCGAAGUGUACUAGCUGUGGGUACACAGUAUAAGGAGUCUGCUUAAACAUAUCAUUAUUUUACUAUUACUGCUAAACAAUAGAGUUCUGAAGCUUGAUAUAUAAAUCUCGGAUAUUUUUAACUCUUCGCCAACUUGGAAUACUGAGUGUUAAAUUACUUUGAUAAUCUAAAAGAAAUACAAUAGAAUAUUUUUCUGUGCCUGCUUACAUUAUGAGUGAGCAGAGCGGGCCACUUUUAAAUAUUUUGCUUCAGUAUUUUUUUUAUCUUGAGUGUUAAAAUCGUUUGUACUUUUCAUAAAUGUUAACUUAAUUACGCCAUUAAAAAGUUUGGUGGGUGUGCCUAGACAACCAAUUAUUGCAUGCAAAGUAAGUGCUGAAUGUAAAGUACGACAGAACCAGAUUGAGAGCCACAUGCAGGCUACAGUGAUUUGGGCAAAGUUAUCGCGAGUCAUUCCGUCAGUUGCACAAUACUAUUAGGUUAAUACUGUACUGUUAGGGUAAUACAGUAUAAUAUUGAUUUGGCAGACCAGAAUUUGCCAGUUUUACUGAUGCCUAAAUCAAUUCAAUCACAGGAAUCACACCAGUUCAAAGCAGUCAUGAUCUAAGCUCCGAUAAGUGAAAUGUGGAGCAGUCUGUGGCAGUGUACGAUAUCUUUUAAUGCUUUAAUUGUUUUGUCGUAAGGAUCAUAAACUGCUUGGUAGUCUUACCAUUACUGUUAUUUUUGUAUGCAACACCAGUAAUAGUAAUUAUUGGCUAGCUUGAAAAGAUCUUAUAACAUUGUUAAUAGGACAGUACUUGCAAAACCUCAUUUGUAUCAAAUAAAUCACUAUAUAAAUUUAGGGACUGUAAUGCUAUUCACUGUGAUAUACUUAGUUUAAUUUUCUUGAUAAAAAUAUUGCUCACUGGUAUUUGUACAAAAAAAUCUGAUCAAAGUAAAUAGUUGAUAAUUAAAUAAUUAUAACUAA